rnacentral:rRNA from 1 species
UACGUAGGGGGCAAGCGUUGUCCGGAAUCAUUGGGCGUAAAGCGCGCGUAGGCGGCUUUGCAAGUCGGGUGUGAAAUCCCCAGGCUUAACCUGGGAACUGCAUUCGAGACUGCAUUGCUAGAGUAUGGGAGAGGGAAGUGGAAUUUCCGGUGUAGCGGUGAAAUGCGUAGAUAUCGGAAGGAACAUCAGUGGCGAAAGCGACUUCCUGGACCAAUACUGACGCUCAUGUGCGAAAGCGUGGGGAGCAAACAGG